rnacentral:tRNA from 1 species
GGCGCUGUUGGCCGGCUGAGCGCACCGCCGGCGGCGGGGCACGCCCCGACCACGGCCGGGUGGGGACGGUUCGACACCGUCCGCACCC